rnacentral:rRNA from 1 species
UACGGGGGGAGCAAGCGUUGUCCGGAAUCACUGGGCGUAAAGAGCGUGUAGGCGGGAAGGUCUGUCAGGGGUGAAAUGUCGAAGCUUAACUUCGAACCUGCCUUUGAUACUGCCUUUCUUGAGUACGGUAGAGGGAAGCGGAAUUCCAGGUGUAGCGGUGGAAUGCGUAGAUAUCUGGAAGAACACCGGCGGCGAAGGCGGCUUCCUGGCCCGUAACUGACGCUGAGACGCGAAAGCGUGGGUAG